CAGGAGUAAGAAAUUUGUGUCUUCUCAUAUGGAAGGGAAAGCUAUUCUUCUUUGCCUUAUGGUGCUUGUGCACCUAGGAAAUUCCAUUCAUAUUGGUAAGAAAUCGAUCUCCCCAUCCCUAUAUAUGUUUCCGUUCUCCUAUCAACCAAAGUAGGAUAAUAUUCUCACUUAAAUAUCAUGCAUAUUUUCAUAUUUUUCCCAAUUUGGACUUCUUUUUAUGGUGUGUGUUUUUCUUUACAGAUAAAUGCAAGGAUCUAGUUCACCCGCAAAGAAAAAAAUGCAAGGAUAGACUUGCUACUAUCGCCCUUGAGUGCAAUCUGUCAAAAUGCCAGGUGACCUGCAAAAAUUUGUUUGGACCGCAACUCAUAGCCUCAUGGCCUGUCUCAACGCCGUCCCAUACUAUUGGCAUUUUUGGUGCCGUGUCUGUUGGUAGAGUUGCAUGGAACAAUCAUGACGAAAAAUGGACAAACGAUGUGAUCCAAUAAUAAAAUCUUCUUGUGACAUGCAUCUAAGAAUACAUAACGAUUGGCAAAUUUAGGUGUUCUAUUCGAUUUUGUCAUGUGCGAUAUUUGAUCUGGUAAUUUUAGGUUUGCAUGGCCUCGUGAUUUGUACGUUAAAAGAACAAUCUUAUGCAACAUGAAUGAAUCGACCUAACUAUACCGGCAGUCCCAUUUCUGAUGGGCCCAGAACAGAAGGAAGUAGUAUACAUUUCUCUAGUCGGUGAGUAUGUUUACUGGUAGAAACUUGUAGGAUCAGAUAUCGACCAGAGCAAUGUCCUUAAAAAAGAUCGACCAGACGGGGUAAAUGUGAAUUGAAUAAUUUUAGCAAUUUCUACAAAACAGAUAGAAGACCAAAGAAAUAGACUGUUAAAAUGAAAAGGAUAUUGGCAUAUGGAAGAAUAACUCAACAAGAAACUAUACAACUUAGUAGCAUGCGAGGCAAACUAGUAAGAUACAAGUGCAGAAAUGCCUACUAUCGGCGUUCAAAAAAUGUAUUUAGUGGCAGUAGGUGCCGAUGCCGCUAGUCUAACGGCAGUGGUAAGCUGGUACUACCGACGUCCACACCCAACGCCGCUUGUAUAUCUCUCAUCUGUGGCGUCUGGCAUGCAACGCCACUAACUAACAAAUUAUAAGUAUUGCACCAUUGACGGUAGAUGCCAGUAAUAGAAGUCAUGUGCCAUGUGGCUGAUGCUCGCUUUGUCCUGUGGGUCCCAAUGUCAGUAAACACCUACUGUCAGAUAACCCCAGCAUGUUACACUAAUCUAGUUAAAACAUUAAUUAAACUAAACCUUACUCAAACAUUAAUAUUAAACUAGUCGGCAUCCACAUUUUACACAUAUAUGAACAACACUAUUGAAAUGACAAAAUUAAAUCUAAUUAAAACUAAAAGAUGGGCCCGAUUCCUCGCCUGCACAUCGUCGUCCGAGAUGGAGACAACGGCCUCAUUGUCGUAGAUGGAGCCUAAGUGCUCCAUAUUGGAUGGAGGAGCAGCCGGAGCAGGAGUUGGCUGGUUCAGCUCCUAUAGCAUCUCAUUGGGAGGAAGCCACUUGAAUAUCGCCUGAACCUAAGGAAGCGUGUGCGACAUCCACAGCUCCUUAGUGUUGUGACAUGUAGGAGGCAGUGGAGGGGGUAGCACUGCUUGGAAAACCCCUAUAGGCGACAACUUAAUGGUGGUGCGGGUUAGUAAGGAAGCGCUACUACUACUUAGUAGUAGCGCGGGUAAAAACAUCACGCUAUACGUAGAGAAUAGUAGCAGCGCGGGCACACACAGACGACGCUACUACUAAGUGCUCCCCACCGUGCCCCCAGCACAAGUCAGGAGGGCGGGCUGUUGAAUACCCACAAGUAUAGGGGAACAAUCGCAGUCCUUUCCAUAAGUAAGAGUGUCGAACCCAACAACGAGCACAAGGAAUCAAUAAGUGGUUUCCAGCAAGGUAUUCUCUGCAAGUGAUGUAAAAUAGCGGUGACAGAUAGUUUGAUAGCAAGAUAAUUUGUAGCCACUAACAAGUAAUGAUAGUAACAUGGUGCAACAAGGUGGUCUAAUCCUUUUUAUAGCAAAGGACAAGCCGGAACUGGCACAUGCGAAUGUUGUCUAGUUAACUUCAUCAAGAUUCAGACUUGCAUUCACUAUUUUGAUAAGUUAUUAUAUGGGUAGACUGGUGGUAGUGUGUUGUUCUUACUUGAACAACCAACUUAUGAUUAACCCCAUCGCAAGCAAAUCCGCAAUUAUGUAAAAAGAAUUAAGACAAAUCUGCCAUAGAAUGAAACAUAUAGAUCCAAAUCGGCCGCUUACGGAAUACAGCAUAAACUAGGUUUAAAAUUAUGUCACUCUCGCAACCCAUCAUCUACUUACUAAUCUCACAAUGCCUUCCCCUAUGCCCAAACAUGGUAAUGUGUCAUGUAGUCGACGUUCAGACGCCAUCACACUAGUAGAAAAUAGGGCUUUCGUCAUAGCCGGAUCGAAGCAAUAGUCCCGGUUGCAUUACGAACCAGGACUAAUGUGAGCAUUAGUCACGGUUCGAGCGGCUAGGGCGUCGUCAAGGCAUUAGUCCCGGUUCAAAUGGGACCUUUAGUCCCGGUUUGAGACACGAACCGGGACUAAAGGGUGCGAUGCUCUUUAGUCCCGGUUUGCGACUAUAGAUUAGACCUUUAUUCCCGGUUUGAGACACGAACCGGGACUAAAGGGUGCGAUGCCCUUUAGUCCCGGUUCGUGUCCGUGUUACAAACGGUUCUGAUUUUUUUUUGUUUUUCUAUUUGUUUUUUGUUCUUAGUUUUUGUUUCAAAUUGCUUAUAAAUUUUAGGAUAUUUGAUGUUUUUGAGUGAUUAUUUUUCCAUUUGAUUCAAUAACUUGUCUAGUAUCUGUUUGUGCCAUUAGUUUUCAAAUUUGAAUGAUUCAAAUAUAAAUUUGUUCAAAUUUUCUUGAAACACAAGAUUGUGAAUAAUUUGAGUUUAGAAAUAGUUUUUAAUUUAAUUAUUUUUGCUCAUAGUCACAUGUCAGAUUGUUGUAACAGUAAUAUUAAUUUGCUUCUUUUUAUAUUAAUAAAAAAUUGGAUUUUAAUUAAAACAGUACUGCUUUACUUAUAGAGUUGUUUUAGUCCUUUAAUUGUUGUUUUCAAUUAUUUUUAGUUAGUUCUUUCUGUACAUUUUAGCAUGUUGUAGUAGGCUUCUGAUAGACGACAGUAGACAAAUUUUUAUAAUUAGUUAAUAUUAAUUUUGCUACUAUUUUGUAUUAAUAGUUGUUUAGCCUAUAAUAAUAGUUGAUAGAAUUAGUUUUGUUAUAUUAAAAAGUAAUUCUGUUUGCCACUUUAAUAGAACGUGACUCUGGCUUGGUUAACCUUAGUUGUGAUAUUUGUUGCGACGGUGCUAGCAGAUGUUGUCGAUGGUAAGAUUGGAUGGAUACCAUCCCGGACUAAAGGGGUUCAACCCCCUGUGUAUCGCCAUUUCAGUUUUGAAAAGAACAAAAAAAUGAUAAAAACAUCAAAAAUUAAAAUCCUUCGAUAUGUAGUUAUGUUACUACAUCUACUAGUUAGGAAAAUUAAGAAACAUAAAUUUGGACAUGUUUUGCAAAAAGGUGUGAUGAAAAAGUAAAAUGACUAUAUCUUUUGCAUACGAUGUCGGAAAAAAAGUAUAAUAUAUCAAAAUGUUCCGCACGAAAAUCGGCAUCUGAUUUUGACAGCCGUAGGCGGUUUUGCAAUUUUUUAGAAUUCUCAAAUUCUAAAAGGAAAAAAAGUUAUGCUCAAAUUUCAGUUUUUUGAAUUUUGGUUAAAUCUGAUCAAACUGUGGUCAAACUACUUAUUCAAGAAAUAUUAGUGUUACUAAAUAAUUAUUCAAGAAUAUUAGUGUUGCUGAAUAAUUAUUUCAGUUUUUUUGAAUUUUGAUCAAAUAUGGUCAAACUAUGGUCAAACUACUUAUUUAAGAAAUAUUAGUGUUAGUAAAUAAUUAUUGGUUUUAAGAACAAUAGUUUUAAAGUCAAACGGUGUAACGUGUGACUUCAUGCUCAACUUCAACUCCUAAGGGUUAAUAGGAUUGACAUCUUACUAUUGAGAAAAAGGGUUUCCCCCGCUUUGUAUUCCGAAGCAACCAACCGAUACAUCCAAAGAUAGGUGCUGGGGCGGAAGCAGCACAAUCGCACCCAAAAGAAACGAAAGAGAAACAACAAGAGAAAAGAAUGCCGACAACGGUAGAUCGACGGAAACGAAGAAGCUUCACGACCACUGCGCCCACCAAAGAUCUCCCAUCAAGCUCCAAGGCUCCGAAGCACUGGUACCAAUCAGCACCUCCAAGAAGGACCGCAACGAAGACGACGCUGCUGCCAAGGGUUUCCCCCGGUACACGACGAGGCGAGAGGAAGGGUCGCCCCCGACGCCCUCCAGGAAGGUUCGGCGGCACCCACCGGCGUCGCCGCGUCGGUGUCGGACAGGCCGACAGGGGUUUCCCCCGAUCCCAACCUUCACCUCGGGUGCUCCAGAGCCUGCCACCAAACCGACCACCAUCUUGCGCCACCAUGGUCAAGAAGCCUCCACGCCGUCUCACCACGGCACCACGAGGUGAGGUCUGCACAACAAGGGAUAGGAGCCGGGACUAGGGGCCGCAGCACCGUAGGCACGCGGGAGGGCACAACCUCCACCGUCAACGACGGUAGCCAACCGGACACACUAGCAGGAGCCUACCAGGCCCGUGUGCCCACGGGCCCGGCCGGGAACUCCAUCCCGGAAAGCUCCCGCCAUCGCGCUGCAGCAGGCACGCCAUCGGCAUCGCCGCCCCCCAUCCGAGCUGCUCCUCCUCCUCACCACACAGACGACGAAGAAGCCACGCCAGGGACCGCCACGAUAGCUUAUUAUUGUCAGAAAAACCUCGGUGUCGGUGGCUGAUCAUAGUCUAUUUGACACAAGGGGUGGGAACCAACGACAAUAGAUGGAUCAAUGAAUGAUCUGCCUACCAUGCGUCAAUUUCGUUCUAUAUUACUUUUGCCAUAUUUUAGCAGAAUAUCCAACCAUCCUUUAAGAAUUCAGAUAGACUGCCGCUUGAGUUGGACCGAUUCCUCUAGAGGGUCUUUGAUUUUUUUUUUCGGUGCAUAAUUGCAAUGUUAACUGCAUGACUGCAAGUCUACAACACUACAACCCAAAAACGGGGAUGAAAUAUUCCUAUCACGUAUAACUAUCCGUUCCUUUAGUGCAUGAUUUCCCAGUGUAAACAUGCUACAGUAAUACCUACAGGUUUUCCGUGACAUCAUUUGUGUAGAGAGCAAGUUUUUUCUGUGUGCAGAAUUGACAGGUGAUGGUGUAGCAACGUCGUCCCAUACAAGCGAAAAUUGAUAGUUGAUGGUCAGCUGUACUCUAUACCAUGUCCAAUGUGCUAGUACUCAAGUGAUAUGGUAUUUAAUACUAGAUUUGAGAUGAUAUCGCAUUUAAUGGCACACACUUAAGAAUAUCUUCUAAAUUUAUAUUUGCAUAGAUGGAAAGGUAACAUCCAUGAAAUGGAUACCAUCUUAUAGAUAGAACCAUAUUUUACAAAUUAAAUAUAGUGAGACGGGCCAAAUCUAUGUGAUCUUAUUUUGAGCAAGAUGGGAGUAAAUAUUCUCUAGCCAUUAGUCUAUAUAUAAAGAUACAAUGCUUCUAGACGCCCAAACCGAGUCAGGAGUAAGAAAUCUGUGUCUUCUCUUAUGGAAGGGAAAGCUAUUCUUCUUUGCCUUAUGGUGCUUGUGCACCUAGGAAAUUCCAUUCAUAUUGGUAAGAAAUCGAUCUCCCCAUCCCUACAUAUGUUUCCGUUCUCCUAUCAACCAAAGUAGGAUAAUGUUGUCACUUAAACAUCAUGCAUAUUUUCUUUUCCCAAUUUGGACUUCUUUUUAUGGUGUGUGUUUUUCUUUACAGAUAAAUGCAAGGAUUUAGUUCACCCGCAAACAAAAACAUGCAAGGAUCGACUUGCUAGUAUCGCCCGUGAGUGCAUUCUGUCAAAAUGCCAGACGACCUGCAAAAAUUUGUUUGGACCGCAACUCAUAGCCUCAUGGUGUCUCAACGCCGUCCCAUACUAUUGGCAUUGUUGGUGCCGUGUCUGUUCGUAGAGUUGCACUGAACAAUCAUGUCGAAAAAUGGACAAAUGAUGUGAUCCAAUAAUAAAAUCUUCUUGUGACAUGCAUCUAAAAAUACAUAACGAUUGCCAAAUUUAGGUGUUCUAUUCGAUUUUCUCAUGUGCGAUAUUUGAUAUGGUAAUUUUAG
rnacentral:lncRNA from 1 species